GCAGUGGUAGUUUGAUGGUAGAAAUCUCACCUUCCAAGUGGAUGCCUUGGUUCAAUUCCAGCUAAUGCA
rnacentral:tRNA from 1 species